rnacentral:rRNA from 1 species
AUACGGAGGAUCCGAGCGUUAUCCGGAUUUAUUGGGUUUAAAGGGUGCGCAGGCGGGAGAUUAAGUCGGCGGUGAAAGUUUUCAGCUCAACUGUAAAAGAGCCUUUGAAACUGGUUUUCUUGAGUGUAGAUGAAGAGGGCGGAAUUUGUGGUGUAGCGGUGGAAUGCAUAGAUAUCACGAGGAACUCCGAUUGCGCAGGCAGCUUACUAAACUACUACUGACGCUCAGGCACGAAGGCGUGGGGAUCAAACAGGAUUAGAUACCCUGGUAGUCCACGCAGUAAACGAUGAUUACUAGCUGUUUGCGAUACAAUGUAAGCGGCUGAGCGAAAGCGUUAAGUAAUCCACCUGGGGAGUACGUUCGCAAGAAUGAAACUCAAAUGAAUUGACGGGG